GACGAACGCUGGCGGCGUGCUUAACACAUGCAAGUCGAACGGACAGGCCCUGCGUUUGUGGGGUUCUCGAGUGGCGAACGGGUGAGUAACACGUGAGUAACCUGCCCUUGACUGUGGGAUAACUUCAGGAGACUGGGGCUAAUACCGGAUAUGAUCUCCUGCUGCAUGGUGGGGGUUGGAAAGUUUCGGCGGUUGGGGCUGGACUCGCGGGUUAUCAGCUAGUUGGUGGGGUAGUGGCUGACCAAGGCUUUGACGGGUAGCCGGCCUGAGAGGGUGGACGGCCACAUUGGGACUGAGAUACGGCGCAGUAUCGUGCCGGAGGCAGUAGUGGGGAAUAUGGCACAAUGGGGGGAAGUGUGAUGUAGCAAUGUCGGGUGCGGGAUGACGGCCUUUGGGUUGUAAACCGAUGUGGAAUGUGCUGAAGAGUGCGUGACGGUAAUGGGUAAAGAAGCACCGGCUAACUACGUG
rnacentral:rRNA from 1 species